rnacentral:rRNA from 1 species
CUAGCCGAACGCCUUCGCUCUGAUGGUCUUCCGGGGAUUAUCGGAUUUCGCCCCUACCCCCGGAAUACCUCCGGCCUCUCCCAUCCCCUAGCCUUCCAGUAUCUCCCGCACGUCCUAUCGUUAAGCGAUAGGAUUUCACGGGAGACUUGGAAGACCGGCUACGGACGCUUUAAGCCCAAUAAUAGUGAGCACCACUCGGGCCUCCAGUAUUACCGCGGCGGCUGGCACUGGCAUUGCCCGGCCCUUAUUCGUGGUGCCUCUUACACACCACAAAAUCCUCCAAAUGGAGGAACUCGGAGUCCCCUCCUCACGCUUUCGCGCAUUGGGAAGGUUUCGCGCCUGCUGCGCCCCGUGGGGCCUGGACCCUUGUCUCAGUGUCCAUCUCCCCGCUUCCACUCCCAUGGCGGGUACGGGUCAUAGGUAUGGUGGUCUGUUACACCGCCAUCUGCCUGAUCCGCCAUAGAUCCAUCCACAAGCGCUUUCGCUUUGAGUGUGGGCCAUUCCAGGACACCACACCUAUACAGGAUUACCCUCAGUUUCCCGAGGUUAUCCCGUACUUGUGGGUAGGUUGUCUAUGUUUUACUGAGCUGGUCGCCGAUAGCACUUGCGUGCU